CGAACGAAGCCAUGGCGGCGGAACUUUUCGGAGGGUAAGGCGGCAUGGACUUAGUGGCGGACGGGUGAGUAACGCGUGGGUAACCUGCCCUGUACAGGGGGACAACAGUUGGAAACGACUGCUAAUACCGCAUAAGCCUGCGGGGCCGCAUGGCCCGGCAGGGAAAACUCCGGUGGUACAGGAUGGGCCCGCGUCUGAUUAGCCAGUUGGCGGGGUAACGGCCCACCAAAGCGACGAUCAGUAGCCGGCUUGAGAGAGUGAACGGCCACAUUGGGACUGAGACACGGCCCAAACUCCUACGGGAGGCAGCAGUGGGGAAUAUUGCACAAUGGGGGGAAUUCCUGAUGCAGCAACCCCGCGUGAGUGAAGAAGUAUCCCGGUAUGUAAAGCUCUUUCUUUAUGGAAGAAAAUGACGGAACCUGACUAAACAAGCACCGGCUAAAUACGUGCCAGCAGCCGCGGUAAUACGUAUGGUGCAAGCGUUAUCCGGAUUUACUGGGUGUAAAGGGAGCGCAGGCGGCGCGGCAAGUCAGAUGUGAAAGCCCGGGGCUCAACCCCGGGACUGCAUUUGAAACUGCCGGGCUAGAGUGUCGGAGAGGCAAGUGGAAUUCCUAGUGUAGCGGUGAAAUGCGUAGUUUUUAGGAGGAACACCAGUGGCGAAGGCGGCUUGCUGGACGAUCACUGACGCUGAGGCUCGAAAGCGUGGG
rnacentral:rRNA from 1 species